UACAGAGGGUGCGAGCGUUAAUCGGAAUCACUGGGCGUAAAGGGCGCGUAGGUGGCGGCCCAAGUCCAUGGUGAAAGCUCGCCGCUCAACGGCGAGUCGGCCACGGAUACUGGGUUGCUCGAGCACUGUAGGGGCAGAUGGAAUUCCGGGUGUAGCGGUGGAAUGCGUAGAGAUCCGGAAGAACACCAGAGGCGAAGGCGGUCUGCUGGGCAGUAGCUGACACUGAUGCGCGACAGCGUGGGGAGCAAACAGG
rnacentral:rRNA from 1 species